AUUCCAGCUCCAAUAGCGUAUAUUAAAGUUGUUGCGGUUAAAAAGCUCGUAGUUGGAUUUCUGUUGAGGACGGCCGGUCCGCACUAUGUGCGUGUAUCUGGUUCGGCCUUGGCAUCCUCUUGAGGAACGUAUCUGCGCUUGAUUGCGUGGAGCGGUAUUCAAGACUUUUACUUUGAGGAAAUUAGAGUGUUCACGGCAGGCAAGCGCCCUGAAUACGUUAGCAUGGAAUGAUAAUAUAGGAUCUUGGUUCUAUUUUGUUGGUUUCUAGAGCUAAGGUAAUGAUUAAUAGGGAUAAUUGGGGGCAUUUGUAUUAACGCGUCAGAGGUGGAAUUCUUGGAUUGCGUUACGACAAACUACUGCGAAAGCAUUUGCCAAGGAUGUUUUCAUCG
rnacentral:rRNA from 1 species